AACGAACGCUGGCGGCAUGCCUAACACAUGCAAGUCGAACGAGACCUUCGGGUCUAGUGGCGCACGGGUGCGUAACGCGUGGGAACCUGCCCUUAGGUUCGGAAUAACUCCCCGAAAGGGGUGCUAAUACCGGAUAAUGUCUUCGGACCAAAGAUUUAUCGCCUUUGUAUGGGCCCGCGUUGGAUUAGCUAGUUGGUAGGGUAAAAGCCUACCAAGGCGACGAUUCAUAGCUGGUCUGAGAGGAUGAUCAGCCACACUGGGACUGAGACACGGCCCAGAAUCCUACGGGAGGCAGCAGUGGGGAAUAGUGGACAAUGGGCGAAAUGCUGAACCAGCAAUGCCGGGUGAGUGAUGAAGGCCGUAGGGUUGUAAAGCUCUUUUACCCGGGAUGAUAAUGACAGUACCGGGAGAAUAAGCUCCGGCUAACUCCGUG
rnacentral:rRNA from 1 species